rnacentral:lncRNA from 1 species
UUGUGUAAAUAGAUUUCUUCUUGAAAAAUCAUUGCAAAUAGCAGAAGGCUGGGCAUAUUUGUAUUCACAGCCCCAUGUGUAUUUUGUCAGAUGCUGUUCUUGUAUUGUUUUAAUAGUUUGUGACCUUUUGUAUUCUUCAUCGUUUGCCUCAAUGUCAAUGGUAUUGUUUUCUGUUCUUGAUUUUAAAGAAAGAGUGAGAUAGAUGGGUAAGUAAAAUCAUUCUGAUAAAGAAGAGAUUCAAGUUUUCUUGGAUUAUUAGUUUAUUACCAAGUUUGGUUAAUACGUGUAGCUCUGUCUUGAACUGUUUUUGUGCUGCCUUCUUGGCCACAUUUGAGUUAUCUGGAUUACAUACAUGCUCAGGAUGAUGCCGGGAGAUACAAGGAGUUGUUGAUGCCUUCAUAUUAAAUACAGUAUUUAAGUUUGUCUUAUAAAGUUACAUCAGAGAUUACAAUAAUUACAGAAGCAAACCUCUUAUAUGCCCCCAAUGAAUCUGACCCAAGAACAGAAGAAAUGUUUGAAUUUGCAAAAAGAAUAAACCCAAAAAAAAAGGCUGACACAACUAAAGAAGAACUCCUUCCAUGAUGCAUAAUCAAUAUUGAGGUGUGUAGGAGUAACUAGGUUUGUUUUGGUUUUGGCUUAAAUUCAUGUGUCCUUGUCUUCCUUCUCUUGAGUAUUGAUCCCACAUCAUCUGCUCUUCCAUCAACUUUCUCUGUUUCUUCUCCAUGUCAUUCAUCUGCACAUACGCUGGCGGCGCAACCUCCAAGGACGCAGCAAAUGGAUCCAUCGGUACAGUGCCAUUGCUGUUUCCAUUAGCCGUUGCUGGUGCUGGAAGUGCCAGCAUGGUUGCUAUAAUUGUUACAAAACUCAUGUCAAAAAAUUAGUAUAAUAUGCAAACAAAGACAUAUCAAAGUAACGUUUCUUUUAAAACCUGCUGGUCUUCCUGCAGAACCAAAUGCCAUACUGCUUGCACUUCCGCUAGCUCCAUAAGCCGUGGAGGUUUGCACAGCAGCGUUCACAGUGCCGUGCUGAUACAUUCCGUUGAGAAGCAACAUAUCAAAGCCUCCUCCGAGUUCCGUCUUUUGUCCUGAUAAUUUUGUAGCGGUUUGCACCAAAGCUGUCUCCCAAUCUGCUCCAUCAUCAUUAAACGCUUCCCAUCCAGGACCGGUCUCUGCACCCGAACCGCUCGCGUAAGGGCCAUCGAAUAAAGCCAAUGCUAAGCUAUCUCCAGCUUCUAAAGCUUCAUUACCGUUUAUAUCCACAAGAUCCAGCAAAUCACCAACUUCUUCUUGCUUCUUCUCUAUUAUCACUUCCUCCUCGGGUUGUUCUUCUUCCUCUUCCUCUUCUUUUGGUGGAGGUGCAGGUAAGGCCUUGAUAGCAUUCAUAUCUUCUUCCUCCUCGUUCACUUCCUCUGCUCUCUCAUCAUCAUCCUCUUCAACAGACUGUGAUUCCUUGGUCUGGUCUAAAGUGGAUUUGUCUUUUAUAAACUCAUCCAUGAGAUCAAGCUUCUUCUGUGUGAUCUUCUCUAUCUCAGGGUACUCUGAAGACCUAGCGAUCCCCAUGUUCUUACACCAGGAAUAGAACUGAUCUAGCUCUUCAAACUGUUUAGAGACGCGGCAGAAAAUGUCAUAGACCUUGAUCGAAUCAGGUAUGUCUAACUCCAUGAACCGUUCGAUUAAAACCCCCAUUAUCUCAGUUAUAUCGUAAUAUAUCUGGAAGCUCUCCUUCACUAUAGGAUACAGAGCCACAAUCACAACUCUGUUGUUCCUCGCGCCACCUGUUUUAAAAAGUGAUAACUUGUUAUCCAAGAAACAACGAAGAUAGCGACAAAAGAAAACUGCGGUUUUGAACCGAACCGAACCAAAAAUUUUGGUUAGUUUGGUUUGGUCGUUACAAAUAAAGUUCAAUUCGGCAUGUUUGUGAAAAAACUUAGGUUUUCAGUUAAUUUGAUUUUCCAAAAGAAAAAAAAAAGUAACUAAGUUUCCAAUGAACUAAUAGAAUUAACAAAAAUUCAAAUCAAAACAAUCAAACUAACCGAAAUUACCGAAUUUAAACAAAAAUACCAAAUUUUAACUGAAAUAUAAUCGAAACCAAAAACUUCGGGUUAGUUUAAAUAAAAAAAAGUUAAAAACAGAACUACCCAAAUACCGAACCGAACAAAUUUUUCUGGUUCAAUUCAUUGAGAUUUUGGCCAAACCGAACCACCCGAACCUCAAGCCUAUGGAUGUGGUACCUGUUGGACGACAAGCCAAGAAACGGUCAAGAAGCUGCUGCAAAUGCUGUACUCUGGUGAAAAUCUUCUCUGUUUUCAUCUCUGCGAUGGGUUGUGACCUAACCACUAUAGCCGUGGAGAGAUCAGCCUCAUGCUUAUCUUUCUCAUCUUCCACCGCAUCUCCUCCUCCAACGCAGUAAACCCCACGUUUCCCGUGCCUCGUUUGCAUCCUAAAAUCAAGCCUUUCAUCUAGGUACAAUGCAUACGUCCUUACAAAAGCAGAGUAGUCCCACGAGUUUGACCUAGAAACAUCUCUAAAGUCAGACAUGUUGAGAAGUCUUGUCCCACGUCGAGUAGCGAAGAAGAUCUCUUGCUCGUAAGCCUUAUCUCCUUCUGCUAAUAGCCGUUGGAUCAGAAUCAAGGUUUUGAGAGCGACGGUCCAGCAUUUGGUUUUGUUGAGGCGUCUAGAAAGCGUGUUGACGCAUGCGUUGAUGUAGUUGCGUGAGUAAGAAGUUAGGCUAAGAAUCUCUCUUAUGUAUUUCUCUUCUGCUGGAUACUCUUCGUGACGAGUAGCUUUGACGAUGGCUACGUCAAGCUCUGAUAGAGAAGAGCUUCGGCCGUUGACUUUGGCUAGACCGGCGCUGGUUUGGUCCUUCACGGCUCCUAUGGCUCGUUUAAGUUUACUCGAACCCAUUUUUUUACGAUUUAUUAAAAUGUAUAUAAGAAAAGAAAAUUAGAAAACGUAAAGAUAAAGACAAAAAGAUAUGAAGAGAGAAAAGGGGAAGAGAACGAGGGUUGCUUUGUUAUGUGCUCACACAGCUACAGUCACAUGUCUACGUGUAAGUCAACCGUACAUGAUGAUUGCAAGUGGGUCAGAUGAUUGCACAGUUAUAAUAUGGGAUCUCAGUUCGAUGAGUUUUGUGAGGCAGCUUCCUGACUUCCCAGUUCCCAUUUCAGCAAUCUACAUAAAUGACCUUACCGGGGAGAUUGUAACUGCGGCUGGAACUGCCCUUGCGGUUUGGAGCAUCAAUGGCGACUGCCUUGCUGUGGCUAACACAUCGCAGUUACCAUCUGAUUCAGUAUUAUCUGUAACAGGUUCCACGUCUUCUGACUGGCUUGAAACAGCAUGGUAUGUAACUGGUCAUCAGAGUGGAGCAAUUAAAAUAUGGCGGAUGAUACAUUGCACUGAUCCGUUGAGUGCCGAGAGCAAAACAAGUAGUAGCAACAGAAACGGAGGGCUGAAUUUGGGUGAUCAAGUGCCAGAGUACAAGUUGAUUCUGCAUAAGGUGCUGAAAUUCCAUAAACAACCGGUCACCGCUCUCUAUCUCCCGGGCGACCUGAAGCAGUUACUGAGCGGCGAUUCAGCUGGACAAUUGCUUUCAUGGACAUUGCCAGAUGAGACAUUAAGAGCUUCGUUGAAACAAGCUUCGUUGAAAUAAGCUUCACUGAAACAGGCGUCAUAGGUUUAGGAUGUAAAGCUGAGACCAGUCAUUCCCCUUUGGUUUCUUUGGUUAGAACCGAGAGAGAGAGCUGGCGAAGGGACUUGAAGACAGGACCAAAUAGUAGGAAGAAGACCAAAGUCUGAACAAAGUGCUGGCUCUGUUGCAUAAAUGGCUUGCAGGUUAAAGAGAAAAAGAGCAAGGUGAGCCAGUCUGGCUUCUGAUUGCUGGUGAGUUUUCAGAAUUAGGAAGGAGAUGGAAGAUGAGGUUUGGUUUGAGAAUUUGUGUAAAUAGAUUUCUUCUUGAAAAAUCAUUGCAAAUAGCAGAAGGCUGGGCAUAUUUGUAUUCACAGCCCCAUGUGUAUUUUGUCAGAUGCUGUUCUUGUAUUGUUUUAAUAGUUUGUGACCUUUUGUAUUCUUCAUCGUUUGCCUCAAUGUCAAUGGUAUUGUUUUCUGUUCUUGGUUUUAAAGAAAGAGUGAGAGAGAUGGGAAAGUAAAAUCAUUCUGAUAAAGAAGAGAUGG